AUUGAACGCUGGCGGCAGGCCUAACACAUGCAAGUCGAGCGGAUGAAGGGAGCUUGCUCCUGGAUUCAGCGGCGGGCGGGUGAGUAAUGCCUAGGAAUCUGCCUGGUCGUGGGGGAUGACGUCCGGAAACGGGCGCUAAUACCGCAUACGUCCUGAGGGAGAAAGAGGGGGAUCUUCGGACAUCGAGCCAUCAGAUGAGCCUAGGUCGGAUUAGCUAGUUGGUGGGGUAAAGGCCUACCAAGGCGACGAUCCGUAACUGGUCUGAGAGGAUGAUCAGUCACACUGGAACUGGGACACGGUCCAGACUCCUACGGGAGGCACCAGUAGGGAAUAUUGGACAAUGGGCGAAAGCCUGAUCCAGCCAUGCCGGGUGUGUGAAGAAGGUCUUCGGAUGGUAAAGCACUUUAAGUGGGGAGGAAGGGCAGUAAGUUAAUACCUUGCUGUUGUGACGUUACCAACAGAAUAAGCACCGGCUAACUUCGUG
rnacentral:rRNA from 1 species